CCGAGUUGUAAUUUGCAGAGGAUGCUUCGGGCGUGGCCGCGGUCUAAGUCCCCUGGAACGGGGCGUCGCAGAGGGUGAGAAUCCCGUCUUCGGCCGGCCGGCUUCGCCCGUGUGAAGCUCCUUCGACGAGUCGAGUUGUUUGGGAAUGCAGCUCUAAAUGGGUGGUAAAUUUCAUCUAAAGCUAAAUAUUGGUCGGAGACCGAUAGCGCACAAGUAGAGUGAUCGAAAGAUGAAAAGCACUUUGAAAAGAGAGUUAAACAGCAUGUGAAAUUGUUGAAAGGGAAGCGCUUGCGACCAGAGUCGGCCGCGGGGGUUCAGCGGGCAUUCGUUGCCCGUGCACUCCCCCGCGGGCGGGCCAGCGUCGGUUUUGACGGCCGGUCAAAGGCCCCCGGAAUGUGUCGCCUCUCGGGGCGUCUUAUAGCCGGGGGUGCAAUGCGGCCAGUCGGGACCGAGGAACGCGCUUCGGCACGGACGCUGGCUUAAUGGUCGUAAGCGACCCGUCUUGAAACACGGACCAAGGAGUCUAACAUCCACGCGAGUGUUCGGGUGUCAAACCCGUCCGCGCAGUGAAAGCGAACGGAGGUGGGAACCCUUAAGGGUGCACCAUCGACCGAUCCUGAAGUCUUCGGAUGGAUUUGAGUAAGA
rnacentral:rRNA from 2 species